CCUACGGGGGGCAGCAGUGGGGGAUAUUGGACAAUGGGGGGAACCCUGAUCCAGCGACGCCGCGUGAGUGAAGAAGUAUUUCGGUAUGUAAAGCUCUGUCAGCAGGGAAGAAAGAAAUGACGGUACCUGACCAAGAAGCCCCGGCUAACUACGUGCCAGCAGCCGCGGUAAUACGUAGGGGGCAAGCGUUAUCCGGAUUUACUGGGUGUAAAGGGAGCGUAGACGGCAGCACAAGUCUGGAGUGAAAUGCCGGGGCUUAACCCCGGAACUGCUUUGGAAACUGUGCAGCUAGAGUGCAGGAGAGGUAAGUGGAAUUCCUAGUGUAGCGGUGAAAUGCGUAGAUAUUAGGAGGAACACCAGUGGCGAAGGCGGCUUACUGGACUGUAACUGACGUUGAGGCUCGAAAGCGUGGGGAGCAAACAGGAUUAGAUACCCUAGUAGUC
rnacentral:rRNA from 1 species